GGGGAUGUGGUUUAGUGGUAUAAUACCUCUUUAGCAUGAUUCUCGACGCCAAGGCAUAAGCGUCGAGAACAUUUGAUGUUUAGAGGUGGUCCAGGGUUCGAUUCCCUGCAUCUCCA
rfam:Sphaerulina musiva SO2202 unplaced genomic scaffold SEPMTscaffold_7, whole genome shotgun sequence.